UUGUGCAAUAAACGAAAGUAUGACACAGAGAGGACACAUUUAAUUGAGCCCGUCAAAUUAAGUGCCAGCCGACGCGGUUAAACUUAAGGGCUGGUCUUUAUAAGUAAAAAGGCGUAAAGGAUGUGUAGGCCAAGAAACGAUCCAAGUAGGUAAAUGGAAUUUUUCUGGAGCGGUAGAAUGUGAGGAUAGAAAAUAGAACCCCUAAGGUAAAAACUAUUUACUACAAGGUAGGCUGAAACAUGAGAGUGUGGGGAGCAAACAGGAUUAGAGACCCUGGUAGUCCACACUGUGAACUUUGAAGAUGAUGCUUAGCAGACCCGAAAGGUAAAAUCUUCCGCCUGAGUAGUACGAUCGCAAGAUUAAAAUUCAAAAACUUUGGCUGUUCACUAUUUCGAUUAGAGGAGCGUGUAGUUUAAUUCGAUGGUCCGCGUGUUACCUUACCCCAACUUGAAUCUGUGACCGGUAUUGCAUGGCCGUCGUAAGUUCGUGUAUUAAGCUAGAAGGGACCCAACCCGGGCACUUGCCCGGAGGAAGUCAGGUCUUAUGAUCCGAAUGUUGGGGGAUUUUAUGCGCUACAUUUUCUUAUAUAAUGAGAAACCUGGAAGGUGAAUCUCUAAAGUAAGAGUUCGGAAGGUCGCUGUAAGACGACUGGAAGUUGGAUUUAAUAGUAAUCGGAAAGUAGGGCGUUCCGGUGAAUUGGUACAAGUGUUAGCACAAAUUGCCCGUCACCUUUACUUAGAAUGGUUAUUCGGAUGUCUUCGG
rnacentral:rRNA from 1 species